GCCUUAGUGGUGUAGUGGUCAGCACGAUCGGCGCAUAUUUGACAGAUCCAGGGUUCGAGUCCCGGCGAGGGCA
rnacentral:tRNA from 1 species